UAGGGAAUCUUCGGCAAUGGGGGCAACCCUGACCGAGCAACGCCGCGUGAGUGAAGAAGGUUUUCGGAUCGUAAAGCUCUGUUGUAAGAGAAGAACGAGUGUGAGAGUGGAAAGUUCACACUGUGACGGUAACUUACCAGAAAGGGACGGCUAACUACGUGCCAGCAGCCGCGGUAAUACGUAGGUCCCGAGCGUUAUCCGGAUUUAUUGGGCGUAAAGCGAGCGCAGGCGGUUAGAUAAGUCUGAAGUUAAAGGCUGUGGCUUAACCAUAGUACGCUUUGGAAACUGUUUAACUUGAGUGCAGAAGGGGAGAGUGGAAUUCCAUGUGUAGCGGUGAAAUGCGUAGAUAUAUGGAGGAACACCGGUGGCGAAAGCGGCUCUCUGGUCUGUAACUGACGCUGAGGCUCGAAAGCGUGGGGAGCAAACAGGAUUAGAUACCCUGGUAGUCCACGCCGUAAACGAUGAGUGCUAGGUGUUGGGUCCUUUCCGGGACUCAGUGCCGCAGCUAACGCAUUAAGCACUCCGCCUGGGGGAGUACGACCGCAAGGUUG
rnacentral:rRNA from 1 species